GCGUCAUACACCUGCACCCGGGAGGAAAGGCGAGGCUCUGCAUCUAGAUUUACCUCGUUCUCUUUUGUCUCCGCUUUUUUUUCACAUUUCCUUGCGACCCUGGCCCUUGAGCGACAAAAAGGGGAAGCCAAGGCUGGCCCGAGGAACGGAGAGGGCACAUGGCCUAGCCACAAGUGGAGCUUCUGCUCCGCCCGAAGGGAUGCGCUGGAGCGGCCUCUUCCUUCUGCCACGGUCUUUCUUUGCCAACUAGUAGAGAUGGGGUUUCACCAGGUUAGCCAGGCUGGUCUUGAACUCCAGACCUCAAGGGAUCCGCCUGCCUCAGCUUUCCAAAGUGCUGGGAUUACAGGUGGAGACUGGACCUCAGAAGAGGGAGUGGGUGCCCCGAGAACUCACAGCUAGCGGACAGUGGAAAGGGCAGGAGCCGGACCAAGGCUCCGGCAUGACGGGUGACUUCUUCCGAGUCUGGCUUCUGCAGCACACAGGGCUUCGCCAGCACCCAGCUCCUGCAGCAUGGGCAGCUCCUGUGACAGCAGGCGCCCGCAGCCUGCAAAGCGUCUCCAGUGCCGCCGCCUCAGUGAACCUCAACCAGCGGCACCUAGCAGCUUUCUCUGCCACCCUCUUCAGGUCUGGAUCUAAGCCCAGGGACCAGGAAACCUCUUGCUUGAGUGCUGGAACUCAGGCCAGAAGGCAGGAAGCCCGCCUGACCCCAUGUCUCAGGCUGCCAGAGGAGCGUGCGAUGAGGAAGGCUGGACUGUCUUCACAGGACACCAGGGAGAAGCCUCAAGCCACUGCCCCCUGACAAGUCGCAGCUCUCCAGCCUGUCUCCUCACUCCCCUCCCCUCCACAUGGGGGGGUUGGGGUGGGGGCGGGGAAGGUUCGGGGCAGGGGUCAUUUCAGCUACUGGGCACCAGUCUCCUCCUCAUGUUUAUCCUGUUCCCUUUGCUUGAAAGGUUCGUACUCCAGAUCCUUGUAAAACCGCUUCUCACCCUUUGAGUCUCAGCUUAAAUGUCCCCUCCUUGGAGGGGUCUUCCCUGACAAUGAAGCUCCGACCGUCCUCUCCUGUUUUACCCAGUUCAUUUCUUUCUGGCAUUUGUAACUACUUGAAGUUAAAGUGUGUGCCAUGUAAAAAAA
rnacentral:lncRNA from 1 species